GAUGAACGCUGGCGGCGUGCCUAAUACAUGCAAGUCGAGCGAACGGACGAGAAGCUUGCUUCUCUGAUGUUAGCGGCGGACGGGUGAGUAACACGUGGAUAACCUACCUAUAAGACUGGGAUAACUUCGGGAAACCGGAGCUAAUACCGGAUAAUAUUUUGAACCGCAUGGUUCAAAAGUGAAAGACGGUCUUGCAGUCACUUAUAGAUGGAUCUGCGCUGCAUUAGCUAGUUGGUAAGGUAACGGCUUACCAAGGCAACGAUGCAUAGCCGACCUGAGAGGGUGAUCGGCCACACUGGAACUGAGACACGGUCCAGACUCCUACGGGAGGCAGCAGUAGGGAAUCUUCCGCAAUGGGCGAAAGCCUGACGGAGCAACGCCGCGUGAGUGAUGAGGGUCUUCGGAUCGUAAAACUCUGUUAUUAGGGAAGAACAUAUGUGUAAGUAACUGUGCACAUCUUGACGGUACCUAAUCAGAAAGCCACGGCUAACUACGUG
rnacentral:rRNA from 1 species